UACGGGGGGGGGUAAGCGUUGUUCGGAAUUACUGGGCGUAAAGGGCUCGUAGGCGGCCAACUAAGUCAUACGUGAAAUCCCUCAGCUUAACUGGGGAACUGCGUGUGAUACUGGAUGGCUUGGAUUUGGGAGAGGGAUGCGGAAUUCCAGGUGUAGCGGUGAAAUGCGUAGAUAUCUGGAGGAACACCGGUGGCGAAGGCGGCUUCCUGGACCGACACUGACGCUGAGGCGCGAAAGCUAGGGGAGCAAACGGG
rnacentral:rRNA from 1 species